UCGGCGAUUGGGACGAAGUCGUAACAAGGUAGCCGUACCGGAAGGUGCGGCUGGAUCACCUCCUUUCUAAGGAGCA
rnacentral:rRNA from 2 species